UACGUAGGGUGCAAGCGUUGUCCGGAAUUAUUGGGCGUAAAGAGCUCGUAGGCGGUCUGUCGCGUCGGCUGUGAAAACUCGGGGCUCAACCCCGAGCCUGCAGUCGAUACGGGCAGACUAGAGUGCGGUAGGGGAGACUGGAAUUCCUGGUGUAGCGGUGAAAUGCGCAGAUAUCAGGAGGAACACCGGUGGCGAAGGCGGGGUCUCUGGGCCGUAACUGACGCUGGAGGAGCGAAAAGCGUGGGGGAGCAAACAGGG
rnacentral:rRNA from 1 species